rnacentral:rRNA from 1 species
AAGUCGAACGAGAUCCAUUCAGUAGCAAUACUGAUGAAGAUCUAGUGGCGAACGGGUGCGUAACACGUGAGGAACUUGUCCCGGUCUCUGGGAUAACAGUUGGAAACGACUGCUAAUACCGGAUGACGUCGGAACUUCGCAUGGAGUACUGACGAAAGGGUUACUGGAUCGGGAGAGCCUCGCGGCCUAUCAGCUUGUUGGUGGGGUAAUGGCCUACCAAGGCAUCGACGGGUAGCUGGUCUGAGAGGAUGAUCAGCCACACUGGGACUGAGACACGGCCCAGACUCCUACGGGAGGCAGCAGUGGGGAAUCUUGCACAAUGGGCGAAAGCCUGAUGCAGCAACGCCGCGUGCGGGAAGAAGGCCCUCGGGUUGUAAACCGCUUUCAGAAGGAACGAAACUGACGGUACUUUCAGAAGAAGGUGCGGCCAACUACGUGCCAGCAGCCGCGGUGACACGUAGGCACCAAGCGUUGUCCGGAUUUAUUGGGCGUAAAGAGCUCGUAGGCGGUUCAGUAAGUCGGGUGUGAAAACUUUGGGCUUAACCCAAAGCGUGCAUCCGAUACUGCUGUGACUUGAGUACGGUAGGGGAGCGGGGAAUUCCUAGUGUAGCGGUGAAAUGCGCAGAUAUUAGGAGGAACACCGGUGGCGAAGGCGCCGCUCUGGGCCGAAACUGACGCUGAGGAGCGAAAGCAUGGGUAGCAAACAGGAUUAGAUACCCUGGUAGUCCAUGCCGUAAACGUUGGGCACUAGGUGUGGGUUCCAACCAACGGAAUCCGCGCCGUCGCUAACGC